AGGUAAUCCACCUGAAGCUAAGCAGGUUUGGGCCUGGCCAGAACUUGGAUGGGAGACCAACCAGGACAGCUGGGUUGCUUC
rnacentral:rRNA from 1 species